CCUACGGGAGGCAGCAGUGAGGAAUAUUGGUCAAUGGACGAGAGUCUGAACCAGCCAAGUAGCGUGAAGGAUGACUGCCCUAUGGGUUGUAAACUUCUUUUAUAUGGGAAUAAAACGUUCCACGUGUGGGAUUUUGUAUGUACCAUAUGAAUAAGGAUCGGCUAACUCCGUGCCAGCAGCCGCGGUAAUACGGAGGAUCCGAGCGUUAUCCGGAUUUAUUGGGUUUAAAGGGAGCGUAGGUGGAUUGUUAAGUCAGUUGUGAAAGUUUGCGGCUCAACCGUAAAAUUGCAGUUGAAACUGGCAGUCUUGAGUACAGUAGAGGUGGGCGGAAUUAGUGGUGUAGCGGUGAAAUGCUUAGAUAUCACGAAGAACUCCGAUUGCGAAGGCAGUUCACUGGACUGCAACUGACACUGAGGCUCGAAAGUGUGGGUAUCAAACAGGAUUAGAUACCCUUGUAGUC
rnacentral:rRNA from 1 species